UGGGGAAUUUUGGACAAUGGGCGAAAGCCUGAUGCAGCAACGCCGCGUGAGUGAUGAAGGCCUUCGGGUUGUAAAGCUCUGUCUUUUGGGACGAUAAUGACGGUACCAAAGGAGGAAGCCACGGCUAACUACGUGCCAGCAGCCGCGGUAAUACGUAGGUGGCAAGCGUUGUCCGGAUUUACUGGGCGUAAAGGAUGCGUAGGCGGAUUUUUAAGUGAGAUGUGAAAACCCUAAGCUUAACUUGGGGACUGCAUUUCAUACUGGAAAUCUAGAGUGCGGGAGAGGAGAAUGGAAUUCCUAGUGUAGCGGUGAAAUGCGUAGAGAUUAGGAAGAACACCAGUGGCGAAGGCGAUUCUCUGGACCGUAACUGACGCUGAGGCAUGAAAGCGUGGGUAGCAAACAGGAUUAGAUACCCUGGUAGUCCACGCCGUAAACGAUGAGUACUAGGUGUAGGAGGUAUCGACCCCUUCUGUGCCGCAGUUAACACAAUAAGUACUCCGCCUGGGAAGUACGAUCGCAAGAUUAAAACUCAAAUGAAUUGACGGGGUCAUAGCUGUUUUCC
rnacentral:rRNA from 1 species